AGAGAGAGAGAGAGAUGCUUCAAGGCCCUGACAACCACAUGAGGUCUUGCACAGCAUUGUGGCUAUACGUGACACUGAGACAUUAUGAAAAUGGGUCUGUGCAGUGUGUGGUAGACUGAUGUGAGACCUCGUGUGGCCAUGGAUUAGAAUGUGAUGUCCGUGGCCCCACACUUUGGGAUGUCCUGUGACACUGCAUGUAUGAUCCUGUGACAUUGUUCAGUCCUGUAACAGACCCAGUGUGAUACCAGGUUGUAUAGCUGAACGUGUGGCACUGGAUGUGCAACACAUACUGUAUGGUACGCGUGACCCUGAGACAAUAUCCUGGGUGGUUCUCUGCGGUUUGCGAUGUUGUGUCUGUGUGGCCAUCAUGGGUGUGGCCCUGAGACUGGUACCAGGAUUCUGUAUGAGUGUGUGCUGCCGGCCUGUGAUCGUGCUGUGACCUUGUGACACUGCCUGGGUGUGUGCUCAUGGCAUUGUGUGUCGGUGUGCACCUGUGCUCCCCUCGGUGAUGCUCACGUUAUGCACCAUGUGUCUUUGUCUACAGCCCUGAGGCCCAGUCUGGGUGGGGGAGCUGGCGUGGGGGCAGCAGGCACGGUUCCCACGGCCACCACAGCCCCUCUCCCAGCCCCACCACCGCCGGCUUUAGCUCUGCAGAAUAUCCUGGCAACCCCAGCCUCUUUGUUCUCUGUGGCCGCCAAAGGCCUCUCCCCUCACCAGCCUACCCAGAGCCUGCCAGGCGCCCCCUCCCCCCCACAGCAGUGGGGUUUGGCCUGACCUAGUCCCUUGCUGCCCUUAUCCCCCACUCAAACGGGGGCCCCUGUAUCGUGCCCUGAACCUGACUCAGCAUGCCAGAUUGGGCCUCUGACCCCCUGCUGUGAGCCUACUGUCCUUGUGCAGGAAGAAGGAAGCAGGACAGCCCCUGUAAUAUACUGGAUGACUGUGGGCCAAGAACUAGGCUCUCUGUGUGGGUACUUCUCCUUGGCCCAAGGCUAGUUGGAGGCUGUCUUCAAUCUGGGAUGGUUUCAAUUUGUUCAAUAAAUUUGCUUCUUUGGCUCCAGAAAAUCAUCAGGAUAGAGAUUAUCUAUUUUACAGAUGAGCAACUGAAGUCCAGAGAGAGUUGCGGACACACCCAAGUCACAGAGCAAGAUGGUAAAGGGACCUGAUUAGAACUUGGACUCCUGGCUGUCAGAUGCCUGCGCCAGGCCUCUGAGAGGAUCACUCGCUGCCAUGGAUGGGAAAGAAGGCAGGGCCUGGGAGUCUGAGUCUAGACACAUUAGUUCUCCCCUCUUCUUGGUCACUAUGUGUCAAAGCCACGUUCUGGGUGUGUAUGUGUGUGUGUGUGUGUGCGCCC
rnacentral:lncRNA from 1 species